GAUGAAGAGGGGAGUUCUGAUGACAAUUUUUUUUCUGGAGUAGAUAUCAGGUAAAGAGGGCAGUAUUAUCGGGAUCGGAGAGGAGGAAAAGAAUCCUAUAGGUAAAAUGGACAUAGUGGGUGUAGACUGGAAAAAGCUGGUUCAGUCUUCACAACCUAAACCGGCCAGUACUGGUUCAGCUCUCCAGCGCUUCAGGGCACCCGCUAUCUUUGCCUCACUUGGUUUUUCUAAGGAGUUUGCUGGAGAGAAGCUGUUCCAAAAAAUCCAAAGUUCUUGUCAACAGGAGCUUGAGACUCAAAGAG